GGAAGAGAAACAGAAACAUCGGUUUAUUGGAUUCAUCGGGUGCUUCUUGUAUGUGCCCUGACCAGGGAUCCAACCCUCAGCCUUGGCAUCUAGGGAUGGCGCCUCCCACCCGGCCAGGGCCACUGCUGGUCUCUUCAUACAAAGCCCAUGGCUGUGUUUUAUUUUAACUUGUGGAGUGUAAAAAUUGGAAAAAUUCACAUAAAUUUUGGAUCUCCCAAUUCUCUCAAAACAUGGAAAGAUCUAGCAAUAUGGGAAGAGCACAC